rnacentral:rRNA from 1 species
AGCGAACGCUGGCGGCAGGCUUAACACAUGCAAGUCGAGCGGACCUUUCGGGGUCAGCGGCGGACGGGUGAGUAACGCGUGGGAACGUGCCUUCCGGUUCGGAAUAACCCUUGGAAAUUAGGGCUAAUACCGGAUACGCCUUUAUGGGGAAAGGUUUACUGCCUGAGGAUCGGCCCGCGUAUGUUUAGCUAGUUGGUGGGGGAAAGGCCUACCAAGGCGUCGAUCAGUAGCUGGUGUGAGAGGAGGAUCAGCGACACUGGGACUGAGACACGACCCAGACUGCUACGGGAGGCAGCGGAGAGGAAUAUAGGACAAUGGGCGCAAGGCUGAGCCAGCGAGGCGGCGUGAGUGAUGAAGGCGUUAGGGUUGUAAAGCUCUUUUAACCGGGACGAUAAUGACGGUACCGGAGGAAUAAGCCCCGGCUAACUUCGUG